rnacentral:rRNA from 2 species
UCACAUUCCGAACCCGGAAGCUAAGACUCUUUGCGCCGAUGGUACUGCAGGGGGGACCCUGUGGGAGAGUAGGACACCGCCGGAC